GUUGAAUCACUGGUUGCCGCACGAUCGCCAAAGUUAAGCAACGUCGAGCCUGGACAGUAUCUCGAUGAGUGAUUACUUGGGAAUACCAGGUGCUGUAAUC